AUCCCUUUUUAAAAUUUUUUUUCUUCCUUGUGUAUAUUAGGAAAGAUUUCAUAAGAGAGAAGUAAAAACUGGCCAUUCCUCCAGCAGCUUCCUUACACUUAAAGUCAACAAUCCUUACCAUGUCCUGAAAUGCUUUCUGUGAUGUCUGCCUGUAUCAGCCUAAUGGACCUCAACUAGUUACAGAGCUCAAAAUCAUUGAGAAGGAUUGAAAUUAAUUCUUGGUGUUAAUUUGGAUGAUGGUAAAUACUAUAACCAUAUAAACAUCAACAAAUAUACACAAAGCAUACCCUUUCCCUCUCUCUUCCUCUCUCUCUCUCUCUCUCUCUCUCUGCCUCCUUCUCUGAGAAAGAAAAGAUGUGAAAAAAAAAACUGUCACUGGAUUUGGGGAAUCUAUAGAGCUAUCCCACAGGAGUUUGUGAAGACAAUGAAGCUGUUUUUAGUCAUUCAUUCUCUUCUCUUUUAAAACUUUAUACCUUCUAUUUGUCUUUAUUACUUUUACAUUUAAUGCCCACUGAAUAGGAAAAGUUGGACACACUUCUUUUCAAAUUAAAACUUCACACUCAGUAGCCUCAAGAUUUGUGGCAAAGUAUUAACCUUUCUGUGUUGCAUUUGUUAUGUCUUGAAAAUGAAAAUAAAAUUGGAGGUAUUACAACAGAUAGCAGAUUUAAAGCACUUAGGGUACUCUACAGCAAACAGAAAUCAUCAAUAAGUGUUUUUACCUCUUCAUUUACUCUUUUUUAUUAAAAUAUAUUUUCCUGAAAGGGUCUAAUGUCAGGAAGUUACACUAAAGGGAGAAAUUUCGUCAGUGAAUUUCUUGUUCUGAGAGCCUUCAAAUUUUCAGCUUUACUCUUAAUGGUAAAGUAUCAUAUUUAUUCUGCAUUAUAGGGAAUUAAAAUGUUUGAGCUUGUAGAACUGAGAUACGAUUUCUUUCAAUAAGUCUUAUCUGUAGGAGAUGAUAAUACAAUUGACCCCCUGAAUAAUUGGCAAGGGUAGAGGGUCAACUCCUUGUGAAAGAAAAAAUCCACAUGUGACCAUACAAUUGGCCCUCCAUUUCCAAGGUUCCACAUCCAUGAAUUUAAGCAAUCAUGGGUCAUGUAGUACUGUAUAUUGAAAAAAGUCAUUGUAUAAGUGGACCUGCACAGUACAAACCUGUGUUGUUCAAGGGUCAACUGUAUAUGAAUAUUUGACUCACACAAAACAUACUUAUGUCACUGCACUACUGCCAAUAAAAUAAUUUAAAUAUAUAAAUAUGGAAAAAAUGUAACAUUAUGAUUUCCAAAUUUUUUACCUGGUUAUAGACUAUCAACGUUUCAAUAUGACAGUUUUACCGUAAACUCAAUGAUGUUUUAUAUCCUGAACUGAGUAUCAUAGGAACCAUUAAUCUAUAUUUCUAAUAAAACUUCAAAACUAGUUAAGUGCAGUUGUUAAAUAAUUUCCUUUUAUAGUAUAGGUUUUACAAUUAACAAGCCAGACACUGAUUCAAAUCAUUAUCAAUUUCUCUGUGAUUAUUAUAGCUUUCAUAAUAAUCUGCACUCUAUUAACAUAGAUUAGGCAGCACUUUAAAGAGCAGCAUCAUUAGCUUUGGUUUCACAAAAAGAUGAGAAUAAACCAGACUUUUAAUUUCAUGGAGUUUCAGAGUUGCAAACCAACACCAAAGUGCUCAGACAAAAUACAUAAACAAAUAUGAUUUUGAAUGUGACUUUUUCCGUGUUCUAAUACCAUCUUUUGGAGCUUACAUUCAUUAAUAUUUUAUAUAGUUGUCUUUUUUCAUUUAAAUUUCAGAAUUAAACAGAAUAGCCUAGAAACUAAGGCAGUUACUCAGCAGACUUAAUUAGUUAUGACUCAUGUUUAAUAUCAAAGGGAUAUAAUAUAAAAAUGUAAAAUAAUCCUGAAAUGUAUUGAAAUGUAUAAUGUAUUCAAAUGCAGUUUAAUCUAGAAAAACAAUGACAGUAUAAAACAAUAAAAAUAUAUGCCUACUGAAUAGAUAGGGUUCAAAACAGAAAAAAAGGCUAGAAAAGAGCAUGGCUUUUUCAGAAUGAAAUUAAAGAAAAUAAUUAACUUUGCAAAUCGUUAAGUUAAAAAAGUAUUUAUAAUUUCUACCGCGGGGCUAAAUAAAAAUACAUAAAAUAUAAAGUACAGGGGGAAAAAAAACUGUUUGAAGGGAAAUGGAGAGUUUCUGGGGUCUAAAGAACUGGAAAAAAAUUCUGGGAGAAAAAACUUGGAUAUAAAAGAUAGUUUCUGCAAGACUUACAACCUGGGAACAUUUGCUAAGCCAUCAUUUCUUUAUUUUUUAACUGUUUUUAUUUUUUAAAUUAAAAAAAAAUUUUAAUGGUUUUUAUUUUUUCUGUUAUAGUUGGUUUACGGUGUUCUGUCAAUUUUCUACUGUACAGCAAAGUGACCCAGUCACACACACACACACACACACACACACACACACACACACACAUACAUAUACAUACACAUUCUUUUUUUCAUAUUAUCCUCCAUCAUGCUUCAUCACUGGAUAUAGUUCUCAGUGCUAUACAGCAGGAUCUCAUUGCUUAUGCAUUCCAAAUGCAAUAGUUUGCAUCACUUAACCCCAGAUUCCCAGGUCAUCCUACUCCCUCCCCCUCCCCCUUAGCAAACACAGGUAUGUUCUCCAAGUCCAUGGGUUUCUUUUCUGUGGAAAGGUUCAUUUGUGCCAUCUAUUAGAUUCCAGAUAUGUGAUAUCAUAUAGUAUUUGCCUUUUUCUUUCUGACUUAACUUCACCUAGUAUGAGAGUGUCUAGUUCCAUCCUUGUUACUGCAAAUGGCAUUAUUGUGUUCCCCUGAUAAAGGAUGGAGAAAACAGAAGACUUAUGAAUGAAAUUUGGAUAUUCAAGUACAUUGCUGAUCUUCCUUCAGUAUGCUUGCCAAAUGCUAGGGUUGCAUGGAGUGCAAAGCUAAGAAUAUCAGAAAAAAAUGAAGACCAUAAGGGAAUUUCCAGCAUUCUCAUGAAGACAGAGAUUAGACUUCUUUACUUAAUAGAGUAAGAACGUCACAGAAUACAUCAUAUUCUUGGUUAAAAACAAAACCAAAACAAAUACCUAGAAAGCAGUAUAAAUCAGAGGUAGAUAAAGUCCUACUAGAACUUCAACCCAGAUUUAAUUGAUAAUAAUUUUGUUGGAUUAAGAUGAUCAGCCACCCCUCUAUCUGUACAGUGAAAUGAAGGAUAGGUCUUCUUUUUGGAUAUAGAAGAUAACAUAUGAAAAUAUUACAUGAAACUCUACAAUAUAUUUUAGUCAUAAUGUUUGAAAUUCAGUCAGAAGUUAAAAUGCAUGGCAAAAGACAUUAUCAUAAGGACAAAAACCAAGAGGAAAACAGAAAUUAUGAAUGAAUUGCUAUGUAACAUGGAUAGAUGAAGAUUAUUUUAUUAUGUAUAUCUAUCCUUAUCUUUAGGAAAAGUGAUUCACUAACAAAGUCUAACAUUAGAUUAGAUACAGUAGAAGAUAGGGAUCUAGAACUAAAUACUAUGACAUUGGAAAAUACUUGAACAUUUGCACAGAGAAAAAAUUAUAAGCAUUGGGGAAAAAAGAGCAUCAGAGUAAAUGUCAGACUCAGAAAGAUGGUCUAACAUUAAUAUUGAAAUUCAGAAGUAGAGGACAUGGAAUGUGGGGGGAACUAUAUAAGAACCAUUAAUAUUAGAAACUUUUUAUGGGAAAAUAUGGGAAAAGUUAGUUAAAACACCUUCAAAAGUACUGGAAAACUCAAUAUAUAUGAAUACAAUAAAAAUUACAUCUAAGUACAUACUACUAAGACCACUGAAAAACAAAGGUAAAAAAGCAGACAAAAAAAAAAAAAAAAGCCACUCAUCCUUCAAAUAAGCAACCAUGAAAAUGACAGCUAACUUUUCAUGGGUGAAAUAGAAG
rnacentral:lncRNA from 1 species